UAUGGCCAUAUCACGUUGAAACACCAAUUCCCAUACGAUCACUGAUGUUAAGCAACGUCAAGGCUAGCCAUUACCUAGAUGGGUGAACGCUUCGGAAUACCAGAUGCUGUAAG